rnacentral:rRNA from 1 species
GGUGAACUGGGCGCAGCCUGAUCCAGCAAUGCCGCGUGUGUGAAGAAGGCCUGCGGGUUGUAAAGCACUUUCGAUUGGGAAGAAAAGCUUAGAGUUAAUACCUCUGAGUCUUGACAUCAGCAAUAGAAGAAGCACCGGCUAACUCUGUGCCAGCAGCCGCGGUAAUACCGAGGGUGCGAGCGUUAAUCGGAAUUACUGGGCGUAAAGCGUGCGUAGGGGGUUGAGUAAGUCGGAUGUGAAAGCCCAAGGCUUAACCUUGGAAUUGCAUUCGAUACUGCUGAGCUUGAGUGCAGUAGAGGGAAGUGGAAUUCUUAGUGUAGCGGUGAAAUGCGUAGAUAUUUAGAAGAACACCAGUGGCGAAGGCGGCUUCCUGGACUGAUACUGACACUGAGGUACGAAAGCGUGGGGAGCAAACAGGAUUAGAUACCCUGGUAGUCCACGCCCUAAACGAUGAGAACUAGAUGUUGGGGGAAAUUGAUCCUUUAGUCUCGUAGCUAACGCGCUAAGUUCUCCGCCUGGGGAGUACGGCCGCAAGGUUAAAACUCAAAGGAAAUUGACGG